UGGGGAAUUUUGCACAAUGGGGGAAACCCUGAUGCAGCGACGCCGCGUGAUUUAGAAGGCCUUCGGGUUGUAAAAAUCUUUUCUAUGGGAAGAAAAUGACAGUACCAUAGGAAUAAGGACCGGCUAAUUACGUGCCAGCAGCCGCGGUAAUACGUAAGGUCCGAGCGUUGUCCGGAAUCAUUGGGCGUAAAGGGUACGUAGGCGGGUAAGCAAGUUAGAAGUGAAAUCCUCUAGCUCAACUAUAGUAAGCUUUUAAAACUGCUCAUCUUGAGGUAUGGAAGGGAAAGUGGAAUUCCUAGUGUAGCGGUGAAAUGCGCAGAUAUUAGGAGGAAUACCGGUGGCGAAGGCGACUUUCUGGCCAUAACCUGACGCUGAGGUACGAAAGCGUGGGUAGCAAACAGG
rnacentral:rRNA from 1 species